rnacentral:lncRNA from 1 species
AUUAACAUUUUGUAGAGCAACAACACAAUAAAAAACCAAAAUAUGAACACCAGCAACUAAAACAGGAACCAUUAAAUGAAUAUUACACACAGCAAUAACAGCAUCAAAUAAUGGAAAUAAUGGACCCUACUGCUCAAAUCAAAAACAAAAUUUCAUCAUUACCACUUUAUUGGUUAUAUCAAUAAAAGAAAUUAUUGAGUUUAUGAGUCUAGAUCCUACAAGCAAGCAAUCUAUCACAUAAUUUUAAAUGAAGAUUUAUCUAUUAUAGUAAUUUAUUCUAAUAAC